rnacentral:rRNA from 1 species
AGCAGCCGCGGUAAUUCCAGCUCCAAUAGCGUAUAUUAAAGUUGUUGCAGUUAAAAAGCUCGUAGUUGAAUUUCGGGAUCAAUGCGUCGGUCGUGCCUUCGGUACGUACUAGCGUCAUUGAUUCCUCCCUUCUGAAGAACCGUGAUGUCAUUAAUUUGGUGUUACGGGGAAUCAGGACUGUUACCUUGAAAAAUUAGAGUGUUUAAAGCAGGCUAACGCUUGAAUACAUUAGCAUGGAAUAAUGAAAUAGGACGUUCGAACCUAUUUUGUUGGUUUCUAGGAUCGACGUAAUGAUUAAUAGGGAUAGUUGGGGGCAUUAGUAUUCAAUUGUCAGAGGUGAAAUUCUUGGAUUUAUUGAAGACUGACUACUGCGAAAGCAUUUGCCAAGGAUGUUUUCAUUAAUCAAGAACGAAAGUUAGGGGAUCGAAGACGAUCAGAUACCGUCGUAGUCUUAACCAUAAACUAUGCCGACUAGGGAUCGGAUGAUGUUAAUUUUAUAAUGA